AUGUUACGCCAAUUUGAACUUGCUCGGUCUGUUCAAUCGCGGCCUUAUAAUGCAAUCUCAUUCUCUGGUCCAAUUGCUGUUUUUGUUUCUGUAUUCCUUAUUUAUCCACUGGGGCAAUCUGGUUGGUUCUUUGCGCCGAGUUUUGGCGUAGUAGCGAUAUUUCGAUUCAUCCUUUUCUGGAAAUAGGAUCAUAUCAAAUUGCUUUUUCUCUUAACUAUGAGUUUUGGUCGGCAAAUUCGAAGGAAUCAUUGA
rnacentral:rRNA from 1 species